UACGUAGGUGGCAAGCGUUGUCCGGAAUUAUUGGGCGUAAAGCGCGCGCAGGCGGUCUUUUAAGUCUGAUGUGAAAGCCCACGGCUCAACCGUGGAGGGUCAUUGGAAACUGGGGGACUUGAGUGCAGGAGAGAAGAGUGGAAUUCCACGUGUAGCGGUGAAAUGCGUAGAGAUGUGGAGGAACACCAGUGGCGAAGGCGACAUCUUUGGCCGUGA
rnacentral:rRNA from 1 species